rnacentral:rRNA from 1 species
CCCUUAGAUGUUCUGGGCUGCACGCGAGCUACACUGAUAUUGCCAAUAUGUCAUUCUUAUCCGAAAUGGAUUGGGUAAUCAAGUAAUGAAAUUUCAUGCUUGGAAUCGGUAAUUGCAAUUUUAUCGUGAACGAGGAAUUCCUAGUAAGCACUAGUCAUCAGCUAAUGUUGAUUAUGUCCCUGCCCUUUGUACACACCGCCCGUCGCUACUACUGAUUGGGUGUUCAAGUGAGAUGCUUAGACCCUUGUUGCAUGGUUCAUUAUUGUGCUCCGAAAGGAAAAAGUUUCAAGCUUGAGUGUCUAGAGGAAGUAAAAGUCGUAACA